rnacentral:rRNA from 1 species
CCUAGUUGAUCCUACCGGUAGUCAUAUGCUUGUCUCUAAGAUUAAGCCAUGCAUGUGUUAGUAUGAGCAAUUCAGAAUAUGAAAUUAUGAAUGGGUCAUUAAAUCAGUUGUAGUUUGUUUGAUGGUAUCUACUACUUGGAUAACCAUAAUAAUUCUUAAGCUAAUACGUGCAACAAACCCCGAUUUCUGGGAAGGAUGCAUUUACUAGAUAAAAGGUUGACGCAGGCUUUGUCCAUUGCUGGGAUGAUUCAUUAUAACUCGAUGGAUCAUACGACACUUGUUCCGGCAAUGCAUUAUUCAAAUUUCUUCCCUAUCAACUUUUGAUGGUAGGAUAUUCGCCUACCAUGGUGGUGAUGGGUGAUGGAGAAUUAGGGUUCAAUUUAAGAAAGGGAGCAGGUGUGCAAAUUACCCAAUCCUGACAUAGGGAGGUAGUAAAAAUAAAUAACAAUAAUGAGAAUAAUGAGUCUGGUAAUUGGAAUGAGUACAAUCUAAAUCCCUUGAUGAGGAUCCAUUGGGAGGCAAGUAUGGUGCCAACAACAGUGGUAAUUUCAGUUCCAAUAGUGUAUAUUUAUGUUAUUAUGGUUAAAAGCUUAUAGUUGUACUUUGGGAUGGGAAUGUGCACUGAUCAUCUCAUCUAUUCUACCAGUGAUGCACUCCAUGCCUUAACUGGACAGGUCAUGCCUCCAACAAUGUUACUUUAAAACAAUUAUAGUGCUCAAAGAAAGCCUAAGAUCUAUAUACAUUAGCAUAGGAUAACAUUAUAGGAUUUCAGUUCUAUUACGUUGGCCUUUGGGAUAGGAGUAAUGAUUAACAGGGACAAUUUGGGGCAUUAUUACAUAUUUAGAGGUGAAUUCUUGGAUUUAUGAAAUAUGAAAACCUGCGAAAGCAUUUUUCAAGGAUGUUUUCAUUAAUCAAGAAUGAAAGUGAGGGGAUCAAAGAUGAUAAGAUACCAUCCUAGUCUCAAACAUAAAUGAUGCCGACCAGGGAUCGACGGAUGUUGCUUUUAGGACUCCCCUGGCACCUUAUGAGAAAUUAAAACUUUUGGAUUUAGAGGGGGAGGGGGAAGGAAGGUGUGGCUACAAGGCUAAAACUUAAAAGAAUUGAUAGAAGGGCACCACCAGGAGUGAAACCUAUGACAUAAUUUGACUCAACACGGGGAAAGUUACCAGGUCUAAUGUUAGUAAGGAUUCACAGGCUGAGAGAUCUUACUUGAUUCUAUGGGUUAUGGUGCAUGACUAUUCUUAGUUGUUAAAGUGAUUUGUCUAGUUAAUUCAAUUAACGAAUGAGACCUUAACCUUCUACCUAGCUAUGCGGAGGUAUCCCUUUGCGACCAGCUUCAUAAAGGCACUACGACCUUUUAGGCCAUGGAAGUUUGAGGCAAUAAUAGGUCUAUGAUGCCCUUAGAUGUCUUGGGCUGCACGCAUGCUAUACUAAUGUAUUCAAUGAUUUUAUAGCGUUGGAUGAUGAUACGCCCAAAUUACAACUUUAUUACAAAAGUGUAAGUGGUCGUUGUCAAAUAUAGAACCCAACAAAGGUUGGGGUAAAAUCCCACAAGGAUUACUUAUGCAACUAAGUAAACUGAUUCUUAAUAGAUUGUUGAUCGAAGUUUCUAGAAUGAAAAAGGGUUUUAAUGGGUGAAUAAUAUUCUUUCAUGCUUUAAUCACACAGAGGUCCAACCGAUGAGAGUUAAUGCAAAUAUAAUUUCAAUGAAAAUGAGUUAUCUAGAUUUAUGCUCA